AUUGAACGCUGGCGGCAGGCCUAACACAUGCAAGUCGAGCGGCAGCGGAAAGCAGCUUGCUACUUUGCCGGCGAGCGGCGGACGGGUGAGUAAUGUCUGGGAAACUGCCUGAUGGAGGGGGAUAACUACUGGAAACGGUAGCUAAUACCGCAUAAUGUCGCAAGACCAAAGAGGGGGACCUUCGGGCCUCUUGCCAUCAGAUGUGCCCAGAUGGGAUUAGCUAGUAGGUGGGGUAACGGCUCACCUAGGCGACGAUCCCUGGCUGGUCUGAGAGGAUGACCAGCCACACUGGAACUGAGACACGGUCCAGACUCCUACGGGAGGCUGCAGUGGGGAAUAUUGCACAAUGGGCGCAAGCCUGAUGCAGCCAUGCCGCGUGUAUGAAGAAGGCCUUCGGGUUGUAAAGUACUUUCAGCGGGGAGGAAGGUGUUGAGGUUAAUAACCUCAGCAAUUGACGUUACCCGCAGAAGAAGCACCGGCUAACUCCGUGCCAGCCGCCGCAGUAA
rnacentral:rRNA from 1 species